UCAGUUCGGAACGUGGCUUUUAAAAAUGCGUUUUUAAAUAGUGUGUAUGUAUGUAUUUCUUUCAGGAGCAGCAGCAGCGAGGGAGGGAGGGUGGGAGGGGACUGGGGAGGCUGGGGUGGAGGGAGGGAAGGAGGGAAAGGGGAGCGUCCUUCUGCCACUGGCCAACUCAGCCCCCCAAAUCUGGGGUAGGGCAGCUUGGGGAAGGUGGUCCGCCUGUGGGAGGGGUAGGACCUCGGGACCUCAUACACCUUUAUCCUCAGAAGUCCUCUCUUUGCUUUGGCACAGAUAUGCAAGCUCCUUUAUUUUAAAUUUAUUGUCUCUAUCUAUUUAUCUUUCUUUGCCAGCUUGAAGAAGUGGAGGAGAGAUCAGCACAAGUUAAGUGGGGCGUCCCCAUCCUGUCUUCCUGCUCACCCUCCUUUGCCCCCAACUCCAUCUCUGCGACACCCUGCCCCCCCAAAAGAAGUCACUCCAGGGCUCUGUCUGCAGAGAGCCAGGGUGAGUGCGGGCAAGGCGAGAGAGAGAGCGACCUCGGUCGUGGGCAAGUAGCUUGUUUUUACGUCCUUCAAUAAAAUUUUUAUGAGGAUCA
rnacentral:lncRNA from 1 species